UGCUGUGGCUCUGGUGGAGGCUGGUGGCUACGGCUCUGAUUAGACCCCUAGCCUAGGAAUCUCCAUAUGCCUCGGGAGCGGCCCAAGAAUAGCAAAAAGACAAAAAAAAAAAACAAAAAACAAAAAAAAACAAAAAAAACCAAAACUAUGUCUAGAUACUCAUGUUGCAAUAGAACAAAGGGUGGGGAAAAAUGUGAAUGUAAUGUAUGCAUGUAAAGAUAACUUGAUCCCCUUGCUGUACAGUGGGAAAAAAAAAAGUGUGGAAAAAAAAAGAAAAUGAAGGGGGAGGGGAAAGCAACAGCAGAGGGGAUCCCAGAUGAUAGGAAAAAUGGGAGAUUAAAAAGAUUCGCAUUACUAGCUGGAUGUAGGCUCAGAACUCCCUGAAGGUUUAGCGUGAGGGGGACAAUCAUAGAAGAACCCCCCGCUUCAGAAAUACUUUACCCCAAGACUACACCAUUUUUCAUCUGUUUAAUUUCUGCUCUUGCAGGGAGUGGCAGUUCUCACGAAUGAACGUUCCCUGGUGCUCGCCUCCCUUCUUCUGCCAGGGUCUCCAGCCACAAGGGUUGGGGGACGUGGGCCUCGGCACCCAAUUUGCAGCGAGGCCGGGAAAUUGGUCCCGUUAGAGCAGAUUUCACCCAUCAGGAAUGCGCUGGGCCCCCGCCGCCUUCCUGCCACGGCCGCCCUCUACACAGACUGCUCCAGGGCCGGGGAAAUGCAGGACAGGAGCGCCACCUCCGCCGGUCAAAACACCGCCAGGUCAGCCGCUCUUGCCCCAGACUGCCCAGGCCAGGAGGACAAGGCUCGGGGCAGAUCCCAAGCCUCACCUCCGCCCGCACCGCUGAGAGGACGCCAGCGCUGGGUCGGGUGGUGGAUGCGGAACCCGCCCAGGGCCUGACCCCCAUGGCCGCCCCAGCCUCGCCUGGAGCAAGCAGAACCCUGACAUGGAUGUGGACAAGAACAGGACCCUGGACCUGGACAUGAACAAGCAGUGGCUGUGAGAGGGCUGCUGCCCCAUCCUGACACCCCUGGAGCCCAUGUCCCCCAGCAGCAGGCAGUAAUGAACAGAUGGUGUUUCCAGCUGAGAGAGGAGGACAGCUGGGACUUGCCCAUGGACUACACCAAAAUGAAGUCCUGAAGGAUAGAUGAGGAUGAGUCCAAAAGGAUUGCUGUAUGUCCUUGUCAUUGCCCCCACCUUUGUCCACACAGCAUGUGAAGUUGGCAUCACUGAGGAAAAUGCACUUGGCACACACCUCAGCAGAAUUGUCUUUUCUCUUUGAAUAUGACCUUUAGCUGAUCAGGGCUUAGAGGACUUAAGUUGACCCAGGAGAUAUUUGGAUUGAUUUGAGUGAAACAAACCAUUGACUUUUUUAAAUGAUGGAUUUCAUUUUCUAACAACUGUGUUUUGUAACAAACUAUUUCUCUAAGAAAGUGUAUAAACAGCAUACCAGUUCAUUUUUUUCUGGGUGACAGAGCGAUAUAAGGCAGAAUUUUCCUUUCAGAUGGAGAAUGGUAAUGAGAGUCUUAAAUAUUUAAAUGGUUAACUAUACGCUGUUAAUUACCUAGCUUUUUGAGGCUAAGGACAGGGUCUCUUCUCUAAGAAAUCUAAAAUAUUCAGAAGAGUAGACUCUAGCCUAGAAUGUCAACUUAGUACUGCCACCUAAAUCUUUGUUGACUAUAAUAUUACCAAAGCACCUAUGUCAAGAACAUAUUUCUAAAGUAGUUACAAUUUUGCAAUUCAGAUUAUUAAAAGUUAUCCUUUAGGCUAAGAAAGAAGUGAAAAAAAAGUUUUUUGUUAGCCUGAGUCAAUUCUGAAAAUUAUGGUAUCCUCUUUAUUCCCUGGAAAAUGAACAUUCUUUUUGAACACAAUAGGGAGACCCUGAUCAAAGCAAGAGCAUCUUACAGAAACUGGCAGGCAGAGAAAAAGGAAACAUUUGCCAUUUGUAGGAACUGGCAGGGAAGUCACCUAUCUAUAAGGCUGGUGCUGCUAAAGCCUAUUAUCUUUGUUCUUCAAAUUGAUUUAAGUAUCCAGGCAUCUUAAAGAAUAAAAUCUGAAUGGCCAUCUAAAAUCCA
rnacentral:lncRNA from 1 species